rnacentral:rRNA from 1 species
AUUGAACGCUGGCGGCAUGCCUUACACAUGCAAGUCGAACGGUAACGAGCCUUCGGGUGCCGACGCGUGGCGAUCGGGUGAGUAAUACAUCGGAACGUGCCCGAUCGUGGGGGAUAACGAGGCGAAAGCUUUGCUAAUACCGCAUACGAUCUACGGAUGAAAGCCGGGGACCGCAAGGCCUUGCGCGGGCGGAGCGGCCGAUGGCAGAUUAGGUAGUUGGUGGGAUAAAAGCUUACCAAGCCGACGAUCUGUAGCUGGUCUGAGAGGAUGAUCAGCCACACUGGGACUGAGACACGGCCCAGACUACUACGGGAGGCAGCAGUGGGGAAUUUUGGACAAUGGGCGCAAGCCUGAUCCAGCCAUGCCGCGUGCAGGAUGAAGGCCUUCGGGUUGUAAACUGCUUUUGUACGGAACGAAAAGCCUUCUUUUAAUACAGGAGGGUCAUGACGGUACCGGAAGAAUAAGCACCGGCUAACUACGUG